AACAAACGCUGGCGGCGUGUCUUAAGCAUGCAAGUCGAGCGGCAAGGGCAGCAAUGCCCCUAGAGCGGCGGACUGGUGAGUAACGCGUGGGUAAUCUACCUUGGGCAUGGGGAUAGCCAUUAGAAAUAGUGGGUAAUACCGAAUACGUUCGUUAACCGUGAGGGUAACGAGGAAAGGCGCUACGGCGCCGGCCUGAAGAUGAGCUUGCGUCCGAUUAGCUAGUUGGUGAGGUAAAGGCCCACCAAGGCUACGACGGGUAGGGGACCUGAGAGGGUGGUCCCCCACACUGGCACUGAAACACGGGCCAGACACCUACGGGUGGCUG
rnacentral:rRNA from 1 species